rnacentral:lncRNA from 1 species
AUUUUUGAUCAACAGUCCACGUGUGUUGAUCCCUAGGAUCCCCAAAGAGGGGAUCCAAUGAGGAUCCAAAUCCUUGGUAAUUUCAUUAUCGCUGCAGUUAGCAGGAUCUCUGCGCUACUUGAAGAAUGCCCAUUGUUAUCUCAUAUGGCUUGGAUUGGAAUUGUACAUGAUAUAAUUGCAAUUGGGAUUUUACAGCUGUUAUAAUGGCACUGGGUGGGGUGUGGGGAUGAGGGGUAGCAAAAGACUGUUCUUCUUCCAUAGAGGGAAUUUUUCAGUCUUGAAAUGAAAUUUUGUGGGUGAAUGUUUGAUUGUUGAAAGCGUUUGGUACUUUACCACCUACACUCAAAUCCAUCAAAAUUCCACAUCGUUAAAAUCCUAACAAAUCUUUGAUAUUCUCACUAUACAUAGAAUGUGCGAAUUUUUUAAAAACUUAAUCGACUACUGACUAUACCAAGAUAUCAUGUGACAACCUGUCCCUAAUUUUACGUUUUUAUUAAUUUUAAAAGCGUGAAUUGACGAAAAUGCUUUAGAGGCAAGGACUUUGACUUCCGUUGACCAUCGUCUAGAGAAACGUAUGACUUAUUCUUUUGGCUUAUUUGCAUAGUACUCAAUGGUACAAACGCAUAGGCGAAAGCCGUUUGCGAGUCCGGAUUAUAACAGUAUAGUUACGGAUGUUUGAAAUUGGUUACUUACAUUUUAGAUUUUAAUUUAUUUGAACUCCCACCUUUUAGGAAAGAAGCCCAAUCAUUUUUAAGAAAAUAAUAAGGGACCAAUCAAAUUAAAGGGUAAGGACCAAUCAGAAAUCAAGAAGAAAAAAACAAAAAAGAAGGGGAGCUCCAGCCUUCCCGUCGGUCCGUACACCCGCGCACCACCCGACCCAAAUCCGACGAAUUUCCGCCAUUUUUCUCGUUGAUCACCACCAUCCAUCACAUGCAAAUCACUCAUGUGGCCUCCCAUCCACCAUCUCAGUCGAAAAACAGAGAGUUUUGGUUCCAAUUUCGUGAAGGCCGACGCACGGCUUCGUGGGUACUAGGCGGUGAUCCACCCAUUUCUGAAACACUUACUUUCACCAAAACACUUAUCUGGAGGUCAGGAACAAAGCCCAAACUAUUUUAAGGGUGAUGGUGUUGCAUAUUGAUUGAAUUGAAGAACACCCAAAUUCUAGGGUUUCGGCUGGUUCUUGGCGAUUUGAAGCUUUUCCUGGCCAAAUUGGACUUCUCCACAGGUAUAAAACUUGCUCUACUCAUUGAGAUCUUCAUUCCUGUGAAAUUUGAGAAGUUUUAGAAAUAGUGGAAUGUUCCGACGAGUCGGGGCGGCAGACCGCCACGUGCGGCGGCGUGUGGUGGUGGCGCAUGGGCCGAGACAUCCCUGACCUUCCUAGGCUAAACUUGAUACCCCAAUUCCAUAUGUGAUGUCUGAUUAACAAAAUUCAAUUAUUUGGGUACAAUUUCGCUAAGGUCCGCUACUUGGUCAUCAUAUGAAUUGACCAUCCGACCGUUGGAUCGUCAUCAAACUUUAAUAAGUUAUUAUUCGUAAUAUUUGAGGACCUUAGGAACUUACUGAUCAGGAAUCCGACAUAUGGAUCUUCUCGAAUUGGAUUUAUAAGUUUGUAAAAUAAAACGUUGACCUCCACUUGAAUUUGCAAUUGGCGGAGAUUCGACCGUUGGAUCUAGGAUGUUGUUCUAGAAGCAUAAUAUGAAUCUAUGAAAGUUACGGAUCAGAAGUCCGAGGAGCAGAUCUUUCGGAUUGAGCUACGUAGGGUUGUGGACCCUAUUGUCAACCAUUGACUGACGG